rnacentral:rRNA from 1 species
AUGGACGGUGGAAAGGACAAAGGUGCGGGUGGAUACAGCGGGUACCCCGGUGGCUACCCUGCUCCGGCGGGAUAUCCCGGUUACCCUGUUCCGGUAAGCACGUAUCCGCCGGCGCCCGGAUAUGCUGCUCCACCUGGGCAGUAUGCGCCACCUCCCGGCGCGUACCCUCAGCCCGGGGGUUAUCAACCGCCGCACGUUGCGUAUCCUCCGAGCGGGUACCCUGCGACCGCUGGGUAUCCGCAAUAUCCUACGACCCACCCUCCAGCUGGUUAUCCCGCUCAAGGGCCACCAAUGCAGGUUCCUCCUUAUGGCCACGCUCCUAUGUACGGGGGAGGCGGCCAUGGCGUAGCAGGCGGUAUGGUUGCUGGCGGCGCGGCAGCGGCAGCCGCAGCAUAUGGAGCUCACAAGGUGUCGCACGGCGGCGCCCACGGGAUGUACGGCCACGGUCACCACCAGGGCAAGUUCAAGCAUGGCAAGUUCAAGCACGGCAAGUUUGGCAAGCACAAGAAGAUGUACGGCCGCAAGUGGAAGUGA